rnacentral:rRNA from 1 species
GAGGUUAAGCGACUAAGCGUACACGGUGGAUGCCUAGGCAGUCAGAGGCGAUGAAGGGCGUGCUAAUCUGCGAAAAGCGUCGGCAAGGUGAUAUGAACCGUUAUACCCGACGAUACCCGAAUGGGGAAACCCAGUGUGAUCCGUCACACUAUCAUUAACUGAAUCCAUAGGUUAAUGAGGCGAACCGGGGGAACUGAAACAUCUCAGUACCCCGAGGAAAAGAAAUCAACCGAGAUUCCCCCAGUAGCGGCGAGCGAACGGGGAGGAGCCCAGAACCUGAAUCGGCUUGUGUGUCAGUGGAAGCGUCUGGA